GUGAACCUGCGGAGGAUCAUUGUCGAU
rnacentral:rRNA from 1 species